AUACUUACCUGGCAGGGGAGAUACCAUGAUUAGGAAGGUGGUUUUCCCAGGGUGAGGCUUAAAGUCUUUUGCACUCCAGAUGUGCCGACCCUGCUAUUUCACCAAAUGUGAGAAACUCAACUGCAUAAUUUGUGAUAGUGGGGGACUGCCUUCACACUCUCCCCUC
ensembl:snRNA U1 U1 spliceosomal RNA